CGUUUCUCAGCCUCGCGAGAUUUCUUUUCUUCCUCCUUCUCUGUUUCUAAAUUUUCUUUGUUUUCAAAACCCACAAACACUAAAAACCUUCACUUUUCUCCUAGAUCUAAGCUUCGUUUCGAGAAGUGACAGAAGAGAAAGUUGUUCAUUGCCACGCUGCGGUGCUAGUGAGCUAGUUUUUGACACGACAUCACGAACUUAAAUUUUACCGGAAUUAAUUACGGUACCGUAAUCGCGUGUUAGAGCUAUCGUUAAGGCUUUACCCUCAUAUGAGAAACAGGAUCAUCCUACCGGUUAGCACCUUGGAGAUGGAAAAGUAGUUAGUCAUACCUGGCCGAAGUUGUGUCAGGAGGAUCUUGCAAGGAGCGUGGAGAUCACCCGGGUUGUGUAGUUUUGUAGCAUGAUCAGUUUAGGUGGUUGUAUAAGGACUAGAUGACUUUCUUUUGUGAUUGUAUUUAUUUUAUUUUGGAAGAUUGUAUCUAUGCUUAAACUAAUUGAUGACUUUUAUUUUGAUGGGUCCAUGUACCACUUUUUGAUGUGACGUGAGGGGGGAGUUAAAAUUCUUGGGGCAGUGCUUUUGUACAUGUCUGCCGAGAAUACCCCAGGGGUGUGAGCUAUGUCUGAUAAGCCUUAUAGCACCGAUGUAUUUUGAUGUUCGAACACUUUGGAUUUUUAUUUCAAAAAUUAUUCCGCUGCUUGUAAAUA